GAAACCAACAGGGAUUGCCUUAGUAGCGGCGAGUGAAGCGGCAAAAGCUCAAAUUUGAAAUCUGGCACUUUCAGUGUCCGAGUUGUAAUUUGAAGAAGGUAUCUUUGGGUCUGGCUCUUGUCUAUGUUUCUUGGAACAGAACGUCACAGAGGGUGAGAAUCCCGUGCGAUGAGAUGACCCAGACCUAUGUAAAGUUCCUUCGAAGAGUCGAGUUGUUUGGGAAUGCAGCUCUAAGUGGGUGGUAAAUUCCAUCUAAAGCUAAAUAUUGGCGAGAGACCGAUAGCGAACAAGUACAGUGAUGGAAAGAUGAAAAGAACUUUGAAAAGAGAGUGAAAAAGUACGUGAAAUUGUUGAAAGGGAAGGGCUUGAGAUCAGACUUGGUAUUUUGUAUGUUACUCUCUCGGGGGUGGCCUCUACAGUUUACCGGGCCAGCAUCAGUUUGGGCGGUAGGACAAUUGCAAAGAAAUGUGGCACUGCCUCGGUAGUGUGUUAUAGUCUUUGUCGAUACUGCCAGCCUAGACUGAGGACUGCGGCUUCGGCCUAGGAUGUUGGCAUAAUGAUCUUAAGUCGCCCGUCUUG
rnacentral:rRNA from 1 species